UGCUAGGGAUGGAAAUUGGGUGGGUGGAUUGCGUCUUGCAACCCCCCAUACCAUCCCUGUCUCUGUAUAAACCACCUCCCCCCUCCUCUUCCUUCCAUUGUGGAGUUUUUGUGUAUGUUCAAAAGCCAGAAUAUGGCCCUUAAUUUGUUUCAGACAAUUUCUUAUUUAUUUUUUAUUUUAACUUUAUUCUUAAGUAGCUUCUAGUGGGGAGAGCUUAUCCUCCAGUUAUCUUUCUUUUUAAAUAAAAUCUCUAUUCUAAUACACACACACACACACACACACACACACACACACACACACACACACACACACACACACAAAGCGUAGAAUUGGACUAAAUGAGGACAAUUAUGCAUGGGUUUUAUUUUUUGGAGGAUACAUUCUUCUUGUAAAUCAAUUCUAAGUAACUGUGAUUUGAGUGCUCUUAAGUGGACUUUUAAAACCUACUGCUCCUUGCAGUGGGUGAUUGGGGCACUAGAAGAAAGAAGCAACCUGGUUUGUGGAAUUAGUUGGAGUGAUCCAUAUUAAAAAAAAAAAAUUGCUUCUUGGAAAAGAAAUGGGCUGAUUUGUGCAAUUGAUCUCAUGGUUUGUUAGAAUCCCUUAAUUAGUGUAAAUCCAUUAAUUAGUGUAAAUUAGCUAUAAAUUAGAAUAUAAUUAGGAAUUAUUGUAUUUAUUAAUUUCCUAUUUAGUCUUAGCCUUUGUAUAUAAAUUAGAAUUCUUGUAAAUCAUUUUAGUAUGAAGAGAUAUAAAAGAAAUUCUCUAAAUUCUCUGUCUUUUACAUGGUAUCAGAACUGUGCCAAAAUAUUUUGGCGUGAACAGUGUAGUUCUGGGUAGUUUUUUUUUUGGUGGGUCAAGCUUCUACGUCGUUCUAGGAAAGGAGGUGACUGUCACCACCCACCUGAGGAGGAAGGACACUAGCCAAUCUGCCUACGCUAGGAGUCCCGCCGCCGUCCGGUGAAGCGCGUGAGCUCACGCGCCUCCAGAACCCUCGGGUUAUUUUUCAUGUGCCGGCGUGUGCACCCUUUUUCCGGUGAUUUCUCUGGCUGUGCCUCUUGCCGACGACAUUCCCUGUCUGGCACGCCUCUAACCAACGUGUUUCCACACCUGGUUUGCACAUUUAUUUUUUGGUACCUUUCGUUGCCCAGUUUCUUGCUUUCUGCCUCAGUACCUAUUCUUUUAAUUGAAAAAUGAUCGAUGGAAAGAAGAAAGCCUCUGAAAUAAAGGUUGGAUUUGUCGGUGAUAAUCCCUCUUUACAAAUUAAUCCUGUAAAGUUGGAUGGAACUAAUUAUUUGGCAUGGUCUAGAUCCUAUCUACUAUUCAUUCAGGUUAGAGAACUGCAGUGGCAUAUCACUGGAGAUAAGAAAAAGCCAGAAAGUGCUAGUUCUACCUACAAUCAAUAGGAGUCGGAGAACUCUCUUGUUAUGUCAUGAAUCAUCAAUUCUAUGCAACCUCAUAUAGCUCGUGGGUAUUUACUGUUGGACAGUGCAGCUACCAUUUGGAGUGCUGUUUAUCAGACUUAUUCUCAAGUUGGGAAUGAUGCACAAGUUUAUGAGCUUAGUAACAAGGUUCAUGGAAUGAAACAAGAUGAGUUGACUGUUGCUCAGUAUUAUGCGGAAAUGAGUGGUCUAUGGCAAGAGUUGGAUUUCUAUUAGGACUUUCAGGCUUCAUGUCCGGCUGAUGCAGUUAAGUUCCAGAAAUUGAUUGAGAAGGAGCGCAUAUGUGAUUUUUUUGCUGGACUAAAUGUGGAGUAUUAUUAGAUUCGGGUCUAAGUACUUGGUAAGGAUCCUUUACCCACCUUAAGGAAGGCAUAUUCUUAUUUUCUGCAAGAGGAGAGCAGAAGGAGUGUCAUGAUCAAUUCUACAGCUGGGCUGACUGCUAACUCCUUACGAGAAUAGUCACAUAGUCCAUCAGAUAAGAAUCACUUGCAUUGUGACUACUGUGGGAAAUCCCGGCGCACCAAAGAAUAAUGUUGGAAGUUGCAUGGCCGCCCAACUAAAGGGCGUGGAGGAAAAAGGAUGGGCUCUGCUAGACCACAAGCAUAUGUAUCUGAGCCUGUGAGUGUUUCUGAAGAUACUGCUAUCACUGGGAUGUUUUCCAAUGAAGAGGUACAGGCUCUAAGGCGAUUCCUGUCACAGCUUAAAUCACAAUCCACUACAGUUGCCUCUUCUAACUUCGUCAACUCUGGUAAUGCUUUUCUUGCCAAUCAUAAUAAUUCAUUUUGGGUUAUAGAUUCUGGAGCAAACAAACAUAUGACAGGCUCUUCGAAUAAAUUCAUAUCCCAUUCUCCAUGAUCAGGCAAAGAAAAAGUCCGCUCUGCAGAUGGAUCCUUAUCUAAUGUUUUUGAAACAGGAAUUGAUAACAGGGAGAAUGAUUGACAGUGGUAGACUGCAAUAUGGGCUAUAUUUAUUGAAUGAUUGUGUUGAUCAGGCCAUGUUGGGACAAUCUAUGGGUGCUGAGGAAGAAAUUAUCCAGUGGCAUAGGAGACUUUGACAUCCUUCAUUUACUGUUUUAGAGAAACUUUAUCCUCUUUUGUUUAAGCAAUGUAAAAGUGAAUUGUUAGUAUGUGAUGCUUGUGAGUUUGCCAAACAUACUAGACAAUCUUAUCCUGCAAUAAAUAAUAAGGCUUCAGUUCCUUUUAUGAC